GUAUUUUUAGUAGAGAUGGGGGUUCACCAUGUUGGCCAGGCUGGUCUCAAACUCCUGACCUCAAGUGAUCCACCUGCCUCUGCCUCCCAAAGUGCUGGGAUUACAGGUGUGAGCCACCGCGCCCGGCUUAUUUCUUGGCUCACUUAAAAGCACAUCAUCAGCUCUUCCAGGGUAGGGCUUGUGUCGACUGCUAUGUUGUGUUUGGCCAGAACAGGCUCCUCUGGAUAUUUGCCUGACUGAAUGAAAAAGCAAGGGCUGUGAUGACCUGGGGAGAGGAGGGGACCAGGGCUAUGAAUUACCUUCCCUUCCCCACCCUCUCCUGCAGCAAAUCAGCCGGCACCAGGAGCAGUUCAUCCAGAUGCUGAACGAGCCCCCUGGGGAGCUGGCGGACAUCUCAGAUGUGGAGGGGGAGGUGGGCGCCAUAGGAGAGGAGGCCCCGCAGAUGAACUACAUCCAGGUGACGCCGCAGGAGAAAGAAGCUAUAGAGAGGUUGAAGGCCCUGGGCUUCCCAGAGAGCCUGGUCAUCCAGGCCUAUUUCGCGUGUG
rnacentral:sRNA from 1 species